rnacentral:RNase_P_RNA from 1 species
GUACGGCAUUGUUCUAUCGCUGCGAGACUUUGUUUCGGAGAGGAAAGUCCGGGCAACACAGAGCAUCAUACAACCUAACGGGUUGGCGGAACUUGCGUUCUGACAGACAGUGCCACAGAAAACAACCGCCUGUUUUUUGCAGGUAAGGGUGAAAAUGUGAGGUAAGAGCUCACGCUGGGGCUUAGUGAUAGGUCUCAGGGGUAAACCUUAUGAGUUGAAAGACCAAGUAUAUCGGAGCAUGGGGCUGCUCGUCCUUUCCGAGGGGUAGGUCGUUAGAGGCUUGUCGCGAGACAGGCAGUAGAUUAAUGAUAGAACGGUUUGCAAGUGCAGACCCGACAGAACCCGGCUUACAGAUGUCGUACCGUU